UGCUAUAGCGAAAUCUUUCAA
ensembl:piRNA 21ur-2367 ncRNA